rnacentral:rRNA from 1 species
UGGGGAAUAUUGCGCAAUGGGCGAAAGCCUGACGCAGCGACGCCGCGUGGGGGAUGACGGCCUUCGGGUUGUAAACCUCUUUCGCCAGGGACGAAGCGUGAGUGACGGUACCUGGAUAAGAAGCACCGGCCAACUACGUGCCAGCAGCCGCGGUAACACGUAGGGUGCGAGCGUUGUCCGGAAUUAUUGGGCGUAAAGAGCUCGUAGGCGGUCUGUCGCGUCGGUCGUGAAAACUUGGGGCUUAACCCUGAGCUUGCGGUCGAUACGGGCAUGACUGGAGUUCGGCAGGGGAGACUGGAAUUCCUGGUGUAGCGGUGAAAUGCGCAGAUAUCAGGAGGAACACCGGUGGCGAAGGCGGGUCUCUGGGCCGAUACUGACGCUGAGGAGCGAAAGCGUGGGGAGCGAACAGGAUUAGAUACCCUGGUAGUCCACGCCGUAAACGGUGGGCGCUAGGUGUGGGGGCCAUUCCACGGUCUCUGUGCCGCAGCUAACGCAUUAAGCGCCCCGCCUGGGGAGUACGGCCGCAAGGCUAAAACUUAAAGGAAUUGACGGGGUCAUAGCUGUUUCCU